AUUGAACGCUGGCGGCAGGCUUAACACAUGCAAGUCGAGCGGGGAAAGGUAGCUUGCUACCUGACCUAGCGGCGGACGGGUGAGUAAUGCUUAGGAAUCUGCCUAUUAGUGGGGGACAACAUUCCGAAAGGAAUGCUAAUACCGCAUACGCCCUACGGGGGAAAGCAGGGGAUCUUCGGACCUUGCGCUAAUAGAUGAGCCUAAGUCAGAUUAGCUAGUUGGUGGGGUAAAGGCCUACCAAGGCGACGAUCUGUAGCGGGUCUGAGAGGAUGAUCCGCCACACUGGGACUGAGACACGGCCCAGACUCCUACGGGAGGCAGCAGUGGGGAAUAUUGGACAAUGGGCGAAAGCCUGAUCCAGCCAUGCCGCGUGUGUGAAGAAGGCCUUUUGGUUGUAAAGCACUUUAAGCGAGGAGGAGGCUACUUAGAUUAAUACUCUAGGAUAGUGGACGUUACUCGCAGAAUAAGCACCGGCUAACUCUGUGCCAGCAGCCGCAGUAAAAC
rnacentral:rRNA from 1 species